rnacentral:lncRNA from 1 species
CUGCCAUAACUCAGGAAGAGUUUGGACUCACAGCAAAAGUUGGUUCUACAAGGGUUAAUUUGUUGGAACUACCUUGGGGAUAGAAAUAUUUGGAAGCUCUGGAAUUCCUGCAUCUCCAAGUCCUCCCUCAAUGAAAUUGAAGAAGCACCUUUCUACCCCGUUAGAAACAAGGCUACAGAAAAGCUGUCCACUAGAUGUCACUGGUACUUCACUGAAAUAAGACUGAAAGCGCCGUGUCUGGUAGUCUUAGAGGUGAUGCACAGGUGAGUAGAAUCACUGUGCUUGCCCUGCUCAGCCCCACUCCUGUGCCUGGCCUUCACACAGAAAACACCAGUGGGCCAAGGCACGGGGCUGACCUUGGGCUUGCACACUGUGGCUUAUAGCUUAGAAUCACAGAAGAUCUCAAUUUGGAAGGGACCCAUAAGAAUUGUUGCAUCAAACUCCUGGCUCCGCCCAAGAAUCAGACCAUAUGUCUGAGGGUGUUCAAAUGCUCCUUGAGCUCUGGCAGCUCAAGGCCAUACCCACUGCCCUGGGCAGCCUGUGCCAUGCCCACCGCCCUCUGAUGCAGAACCUUCCCCUAUCCCCCACCUGACCCUCUGCUGACACAGCUUCCCUUGUAGUCUAUUGCUGUCACCAUUAGCACACACCACUCUGCUCCCCCAAAAGCUUAGGACUCCUCCCAAGCCCAUCUUAUCUGCUAGUGUUCCAGAGCACCUGAGGAUGGGUGAAUUCAAGUUACCAUGAUUUGCAGUACGGAAGCACAUUUGGGCAAAUGCUGCUAUUCCUGUGAAAGUAUUCCAGUGAUAUUCUUUUUACUAUGGUUGCUAG